CACCAAGGGCUGGUUCCCUGAAUUCUUUGGAACAGCUGUAGCAAAACUGGAAUGUGCUACAGCUCUUUGGAGGCUGCAGACCCACUGAAAACGUCACUGAAGAUAUUGCCGGGGCCACUGAUGACUUUAUAACUUCACCAAAGGAAUUAACCUCUAGUUAUUAGUAAGGAGGUUUUGUAUACCAGUGAAACUACUGACAUCACCUGGUCUGAAGGACCCCAUGAAGAGAUGACUCACCAAAGAAUGCAGUUUCCACAUCCUGAUGAUUUCAUCCCCAUUACCUGACAAAACAAUGACCCCAAUUUCCCAGCCCCUCACCCUCCAUGACCCCCUGAAAAACGUCAGCUAGAAACUUCUCGGAGAGAUGGAUUUAAGGGUCUCCUCCCAUCCCCUUGCUUGGUGCCCUGUGAUCAUUACACUCUUUCUCUGCUGCAAACCCUGCUAUCUCUGUACCUGUCUGUCACUGCACAGCAGGCAUAUGAAUCUGUUGGUCCUAUAACAUCGCAACGUAACAUUCCCAUGUGGAGGGGGAUUACACUCCAUGUUCUUAUCACAGCAAAACAUAUGUCACACGUAGCAAUCUAUGUAAGUGUUUGGAAUCAUUUCAGAGCUACAUAACAGGCACCAUUGUGAAAUGCAGGAAACUCUGAAUUUCCAGUUUUGAAAAAAUUGUAUUGGAGCUCUGUCUCUGCUACCCACUAA